CCUGUCAAAAUUAAUAAGUUAACAAUUAAGGUUAUAAAAAUGAAUCAUCAUCCAUAUAAACCCACAUUGGAAAGCCAAAAUUAACUCCUACAUAUCAAAGGAUCAAGUGUAAACAAUCUAGCAAGUUUUAGAUGAAUACAAAUCAAGAUUUUAUGGUCGUAGAAACUACAAUAUAAAACAUAUUAUUCCAUAUAUAUAGAAAAUCCUUGAGAAUGCCUUAAAAUCUUUCAUGUAAUUUUCUCUGGUAUUUAUGCUGAAGAGUAUUAUUUGCGAUUGGAGCCAGCAGUACAGGAGGUUGUCAUUAAUCAUCUUAAUCGCACUAGUAGUCUGCAGAUCUGAACAUCCGCACGUUAUCUCGUAGCAAAUUUAACUGAUUUAGUCAAUUGUCUUGGAAAAAAAGAAGCCUAAUUAAUGCACCUGCUUAGGUUUCAAUAGUUUGAUACCAGCUGGCUUACGGUUCUUUUUCUAUACUUUAUCAAAAAAACAAGGUUUCAAUAUAUAUCCAUUUUUAAUAAUUAUCCUCAAUUCGCAAAACCUAGCAAGUUUGCAGGUUUAUUUUAUUUGAAGAGGAGGAAAGUCAAUACAUGAGUCAUCACGACGCGACGAACACACCCUCUUGGAGGAUUGCGAAAGUGUAAUAUGGAUGAGUUCACUAAAAACAUCACAAAUGAAAGAAAAAAGCUAAGUAAGCAAAGGGUAAAUGACUAUUAAAAUAAAUGAGUUAUCCAUCAUGAAAGGCGUUUAAAUUGCUAGAUUAUACCAGCAGCAAGUGGGAUGAAUGAUUUGUCGACAAGCACGUAGGUAAAAUGUCUAGUAGAACGCGUGCUAUGUAAUGUGAGGGGCUAUAUGCUGUAUGGUAGAUGUGAACUUCUGUAUGUAUACUCCGAGUUACGCUUUAUUAUCAAUACAUGUCUGCAAGCCAGGGUAGCAGGCGUGGCUGCUCCUUGCAGUGCCAUAUCUCGUCGUUACCUUGUAUGGAUCAGACAUAUUACAUGACUCUGUGAAAAAAUCAUUCGUGCACGUUUUUCAUUCAGUAUGAGUGUGUACAUGCACUACUUUGAUUUUGCCUGACACUCAAGCCUCAACUAGUCCAUAAUAUGAUAGAAUUGCGAUGACAGAAUUAUGAAAAACUUACGACAACAUUGAAAAUACAUCGUCACUGGGUGCGUUAAGUAAUUAAAAAUGAGAAAUUUAAUUAAUUAAAUUAUAUAAAUUCAUUUCGGAGCAGGAAAUUAAUUACACUCGAAGAGAAAUAACAGAAAGAAGGGACAAAUUUCUCAGUCAGCUGGAGAAUGGUCACAAUAAUAGAGGAAUGAAAUUGAAGGCAUCGGAUGAAAAUGAGACUCGGUGACACGCUCGAUUUAAUGUCUCCUAUGUUUAUUAUUCCUCAUUUGGUCACUUAGACGUACGUGUAUAAGUUUGUAAAUCAGCGAAUGACAUCAUGUCUACUUUCAGUCUCUUCAAUUGCAAUCUUGUUUUCAAUUAGUACAAAAAAUUGCUCUCGCGAGUACUUGAACUCAAUCUUCAUGUCUGAAGACAU